AGGAAAUCAGCCACAAUCAAGUUUAAGAAAUAAGACCCUUAUCAUGUAUCCCGCCACCGCCACCAUGACACCGCCGUUAUCCUUAGCUGUGAAUUCGGCGGCGCGUCGCCAACGGCGAACAGCAACGGUAAAGACUGACAAAAAGCAAAGGCAGAACACCGUUGGUUUCGGCGGCGAGAAGAAGGAAUUAUCAUGGCAUUGCGUUGAGGGUUGUGGGGCCUGCUGUAAACUCGACAAGGGUCCUUCUUUUGCCUCUCCCGAAGAAAUUUUCACCGACCCUUCACAUGUUGAGCUCUACAAAAGCUUGAUAGGUCCAGAUGGAUGGUGUAUUCAUUAUGAAAAGAGUACUCGGAAAUGCUCCAUUUACUCUGAGCGUCCAUUCUUUUGCCGUGUAGAGCCAGAGGUAUUUGAAUCUUUGUAUGGAAUUAAAGAGAAGAAACUCAACAAGGAGGCUUGCAGUUUCUGCAGGGACACAAUUAAGGCUAUUUAUGGUUCCAAUUCAAAGGAGCUUUAUAAUUUUGAGAAAUCAAUAAGGAGCUCUUCUAGUUAGGUUUUGUGGGCUUUGGAUUCUUAAUUGCUCAAGCUCGUUUUCCUGUCUUUACCUUCAUUAAUCAUUAUGCCGUUUUCACUACCUUCUAUCUUGUCCGGGAUGGAUUCUGUGUACAAUGCAUGUGUUUAAGCCUUAGCAGCACUGCGCAAUGAUCUUAUUGAAGCACAGCUACUCUGUUGGUGUUUUAGGCAGGCAGGCAGCAACUUCCAGUCAAAUUAAAUAUUGCUUUCUCAAUUCUCAUGUUCCUCCUAGAGACUAGAGUACUAUGUUCAUGAAAUGCUUGCUUUGAUUGUCAUGGUUGAGGUCUCCUAUGCAUGGUUUCUUGCUUCUCCUCUGAUCACACAAAAGCAGAAGCAGAAGCAGCAGCUUCACAAAUCAAAGCAUCAUCUGCUAUUGUUAUUGCUAAAUUCUGAGCACUUGAAAUAUCAGCUUACAUGGAUCAUGAUAAUAUAGCUUCUUUUUUGUCUUUGUAUUAUGCAAAUUUGUAAGAGUUCUACCUAUUCAAUGGUCACCCACUUGCUUAUAUGGAACAUCUUGUGUUUUAGAUUCGGUCAUCUGCGCCGGUCUAAAGAAAGAGUAUUA